GAUGAACGCUGGCGGCAGGCUUAACACAUGCAAGUCGAACGAACAUAGCAAUAUGUUAGUGGCAGACGGGUGAGUAACGCGUGGGAAUGUGCCCUUUAGUUCGGAAUAACUCAGGGAAACUUGAGCUAAUACCGGAUAAUCCCGAGAGGGGAAAGAUUUAUCGCUGAAGGAGCAGCCCGCGUCUGAUUAGCUAGUUGGUGAGGUAAUGGCUCACCAAGGCGACGAUCAGUAGCUGGUCUGAGAGGAUGAUCAGCCACACUGGGACUGAGACACGGCCCAGACUCCUACGGGAGGCAGCAGUGGGAAAUAUUUGACAAUGGGGGCAACCCUGAUCCAGCCAUGCCGCGUGAGUGAUGAAGGCCUUAGGGUUGUAAAACUCUUUUAUCCGGGAAGAUAAUGACUGUACCGGAAGAAUAAGCCCCGGCUAACUUCGUGCCAGCAGCCGCCGUAA
rnacentral:rRNA from 1 species